rnacentral:tRNA from 1 species
AGCUUUUAAUUCUUUUAAUUUUGAAAGUUAAAUUUGGGUGUUCCUAAAAGCUU